GUACUGCUGAAGAGUCCCAUAAUAGGACGAAAUGGCCGUCCAGUGC
rnacentral:hammerhead_ribozyme from 1 species